AUGCAGUCGAGCGGGGGAGGUAGCUUGCUACCGGACCUAGCGGCGGACGGGUGAGUAAUGCUUAGGAAUCUGCCUAUUAGUGGGGGACAACAUCUCGAAAGGGAUGCUAAUACCGCAUACGUCCUACGGGAGAAAGCAGGGGAUCUUCGGACCUUGCGCUAAUAGAUGAGCCUAAGUCGGAUUAGCUAGUUGGUGGGGUAAAGGCCUACCAAGGCGACGAUCUGUAGCGGGUCUGAGAGGAUGAUCCGCCACACUGGGACUGAGACACGGCCCAGACUCCUACGGGAGGCAGCAGUGGGGAAUAUUGGACAAUGGGGGGAACCCUGAUCCAGCCAUGCCGCGUGUGUGAAGAAGGCCUUAUGGUUGUAAAGCACUUUAAGCGAGGAGGAGGCUACUUUAGUUAAUACCUAGAGAUAGUGGACGUUACUCGCAGAAUAAGCACCGGCUAACUCUGUGCCAGCAGCCGCGGUAAUACAGAGGGUGCGAGCGUUAAUCGGAUUUACUGGGCGUAAAGCGUGCGUAGGCGGCUUAUUAAGUCGGAUGUGAAAUCCCCGAGCUUAACUUGGGAAUUGCAUUCGAUACUGGUGAGCUAGAGUAUGGGAGAGGAUGGUAGAAUUCCAGGUGUAGCGGUGAAAUGCGUAGAGAUCUGGAGGAAUACCGAUGGCGAAGGCAGCCAUCUGGCCUAAUACUGACGCUGAGG
rnacentral:rRNA from 1 species